UUUUGGUGGUAUUUGUUGGACUUGGCACUAUCGUGCCCACACUUGGUCAUCAUUUAGAGAAUGUAGAUCCAUUUAUGCGAAGUAACUAUAUAAUGAUCGGCCUGGCGCUAGCUCUAUAUGGGGUCUUGUACACGUGCUCAGUACCAUUGUUUGGCUAUAUAACGGACAAAUACAAUCGUAGAAAGGUGAUAAUUAUCUCCGGACUCCUCAUAAUGGCCUUAUCCUUUACCCUCAUUGGACCCUGGGCGCCCC